GGGUGUAUAAUAAUUAACUUUGCAAAGGUUAAGAAGGAUUUUUCAAGUCCUACAUCCU
rnacentral:tRNA from 1 species